GGCCCUAUCGUCUAACGGCUAGGACAGAUGGUUCUCAUCCAUCAAAUAGGGGUUCGAUUCCCCUUGGGGCUA
rnacentral:tRNA from 1 species